CCCUACGGGGUGCAGCCGGCCCGAGCCCCCGGCCCCGUGGGGACAAUAGAAAUUGGCAGGGACCCGCCGGUGGGGUCGCCCCGGGCGAUCAACAGCCAGGCUGCGGUCAAGCCGAUGGCGCCCCCCAGCAGGGAGAGCAGGAGCGCCUCGGCGAGCACCAUCGCCAGGACCUGGACAUGGUUGAAACCCAGCGCCUUGAGAACGCCGAUCUCCUGGGUGCGCUCAUGAACGGCUUGCGCCAUGGUAUUGCCGGCCACCAGGAGAAUGGUGAAGAACACCGCGCCGAGGAUGGCCGUCAGCAGGGCGCCCACGUCACCCACGUGUUUGGCGAAUCCCUGAACGAAAGCGCCUUCGGAUUCGGCCUUGGUUUCCUGGGAGGAAUGGGCGGGAGGGC
rnacentral:rRNA from 1 species